GGCCCCGCGGCCUAUCAGCUAGACGGUGGGGUAAUGGCCUACCGUGGCGAUGACGGGUAGCCGGCCUGAGAGGGUGACCGGCCACACUGGGACUGAGACACGGCCCAGACUCCUACGGGAGGCAGCAGUGGGGAAUAUUGCACAAUGGGCGAAAGCCUGAUGCAGCGACGCCGCGUGCGGGAUGACGGCCUUCGGGUUGUAAACCGCUUUCAGCAGGGAAGAAGCGCAAGUGACGGUACCUGCAGAAGAAGCGCCGGCUAACUACGUGCCAGCAGCCGCGGUAAUACGUAGGGCGCGAGCGUUAUCCGGAAUUAUUGGGCGUAAAGAGCUUGUAGGCGGUUUGUCGCGUCUGCUGUGAAAGCCCGGGGCUUAACCCCGGGUGUGCAGUGGGUACGGGCAGACUAGAGUGCAGUAGGGGAGACUGGAAUUCCUGGUGUAGCGGUGAAAUGCGCAGAUAUCAGGAGGAACACCGAUGGCGAAGGCAGGUCUCUG
rnacentral:rRNA from 1 species